rnacentral:rRNA from 1 species
UACGUAGGUGACAAGCGUUGUCCGGAUUUACUGGGCGUAAAGAGCGCGCAGGCGGUCGUUCAAGUCGAGUGUGAAAGCCCCCGGCUCAACUGGGGAGGGUCACUCGAUACUGAUCGACUCGAAGGCAGGAGAGGGUAGUGGAAUUCCCGGUGUAGUGGUGAAAUGCGUAGAUAAUCGGGAGGAACACCAGUGGCGAAGGCGGCUCUCUGGUACGUGACUGACGCUGAGACGCGAAAGCGUGGGGAGCAAACAGGAU